rnacentral:rRNA from 1 species
GACUGAGUGGCGGACGGGUGAGUAACGCGUGGAUAACCUGCCUCAUACAGGGGGAUAACAGUUAGAAAUGACUGCUAAUACCGCAUAAGCGCACAAGAUCGCAUGAUCAUGUGUGAAAAACUCCGGUGGUAUGAGAUGGAUCCGCGUCUGAUUAGCCAGUUGGCGGGGUAACGGCCCACCAAAGCGACGAUCAGUAGCCGACCUGAGAGGGUGACCGGCCACAUUGGGACUGAGACACGGCCCAAACUCCUACGGGAGGCAGCAGUGGGGGAUAUUGCACAAUGGGGGGAACCCUGAUGCAGCGACGCCGCGUGAGUGAAGAAGUAUUUCGGUAUGUAAAGCUCUAUCAGCAGGGAAGAAGAAAGACGGUACCUGAGUAAGAAGCCCCGGCUAACUACGUGCCAGCAGCCGCGGUAAUACGUAGGGGGCAAGCGUUAUCCGGAUUUACUGGGUGUAAAAGGAGCGUAGACGGUAUGGCAAGUCUGAAGUGAAAGCCCCGGGCUCAACCUGGGAAUUGCUUUGGAAACUGUUAAACUAGAGUGCUGGAGAGGCAGGCGGAAUUCCUAGUGUAGCGGUGAAAUGCGUAGAUAUUAGGAGGAACACCAGUGGCGAAGGCGGCCUGCUGGACAGUAACUGACGUUGAGGCUCGAAAGCGUGGGGAGCAAACAGGAUUAGAUACCCUGGUAG